rnacentral:lncRNA from 1 species
UCGUCUGACUUUCAUUGUGGUGCCCUUCUCCACCAAACUGAUCUAAAGAUGUAUCGGACUUAACCUCAUUCCCAUGACCAGGUACACUUCCAUUAACAUUUUCUCUAAAAUCUUCCAUCACAUCAAAGUCAUCCUCAAUUUCAUGCUCCCGAAAAUCAUCAUGCAUGUAUUGUACAGAAACAUCUUCAGUUUCGUGCUCCUCAGGGUCAUCAAUGUCUUCGGCAUCAUCUAAAUCUAGACCAUUUUCAGUCAUCUCUGGGUAAUCUUUAAGGUUUUCAAGACUGGUUUUAUCUUUUUCCUU